rnacentral:rRNA from 1 species
CACGCCGUAAACGAUGGAUACUAGCUGUUGGGUGCAAACUCAGUGGCUAAGCGAAAGUGAUAAGUAUCCCACCUGGGGAGUACGUUCGCAAGAAUGAAACUCAAAGGAAUUGACGGGGGCCCGCACAAGCGGUGGAGCAUGUGGUUUAAUUCGAUGAUACGCGAGGAACCUUACCAAGGCUUAAAUGUAGAUUGACCGAUUUGGAAACAGAUCUUUCGCAAGACAAUUUACAAGGUGC